rnacentral:lncRNA from 1 species
UUUUUGGGUUAUCGAUGCUGUUCCAUUGGUCUAUUUGUCUAUUUUAUCUUUUGCAGCAUCUAGGAAGUAUCAGUAUUUUUUCUCCAUAUCCUCGCCAGCAUUUGUUAUUGCCUGGUUUUUGGGUAAAAGUCAUUCUAACUGGGGUGAGAUGAUGUCUCAUUAUAGUUUUGAUUUGCAUUUCUCUGAUGAUCAAUGACGUUGAGCACCUUUUCAUAAACUUGUUUGCCAUUUGCAUAUCUUCUUUUGAGAAAUGUCUUUUCAGAUCUUUUGCCAAUAUUUUAUUUGGGUUAUUACAUUUUUUCCUAUAGAGUUGUUUGUACUCCUUAUAUAUAUUUUAGUUAUUAAUCCCUUGUUAGAGGGGUAGUUGCAAAUAUUCUCUCCCAUUUUGUUGGAUGUCUCUUCACUUUGUUGAUUGUUUCCUUUGCUCUGCAGAAUCUUUUUAACUUGAUGUGAUCCCAUUUGUCUACCUUUCUUUGUUUGCCUAUGCUUGUGGGUAUUAUUCAAGAAAUUUUUGCCCAGGUCAGUGUCCUAGAGAAUUUUCCCAAUGUUUUCUUGUAGUAGUUUCAUAGUUUGAGGUGUUAG